GUUUAUGAGAUAUUACAAAAUGAAAAAGGAAAUCAAAAGUCAUACCAAACAAAAUCAACAGACUCAUCUACGAAUUCCAUCAAAUUAGGGGUAAAAAGGUUUGGGUCAUCAUUAUUCAAGAACAAAAAAGAGUUGUCAUCCCAAUCACCCAUUGUCAUUCCUUGCCUGCUAGCGAGCUCCAACUCACUCUUAGACCCACCUUCCACGGCAUUCAGGCCUGUAACCUCGGCAGUAGAAGCAGGGUUCGUUGCAUACUUAGAACUUGACGACGCAUUGGAAUAAUAGUUCCUUAAUUCCCUGGAGGAACCUGGAGAAGGAGCACAGGCUUUGCAUUUUCCCUUCUUGACCCCAAGCCUUUUGCUCAAAUGAGUGUUCCAGUAAUUCUUCACUUGAUUAUCUGUCCUUCCGGGGACCCGACCAGCAAUUAAGGACCACCUUUAUAAUAUACAACAAAGUAACAAAGCUUGGUACUUCCAGUAACAAAAGAAAAAGGAUUUUUGUCAUGACGCAAAGGGUGUACUGUAACUAUAUAUCUUUCCAACAAAAAAGAAAGGAAUAUAUGCUCUUUCUAUGGAUCUUUAGCCACACAGGCUAGCACCAAUAAUGUCAACCAUAAUUCAGGACUCAAUGAUAGUCCAUCAUUAGUGUUAAUUGAGCUAACCAGCAGCAGUGGCAGGUCCAAUGCAACAAUUAAUUUUACUUUCAAUCUAGUUAGAAUCGGCUAUGUAAAUUUUUUUUUUCAAUUCCUAUAUAAAAAAAAGAAGACUAAUAUACAAUUCUAUAAGAAAAACUAGUAUUUUGAUAAAAUAAUUAAGUACAAUUAUAUAAUUAGAAACGAUUCAUCUUCAUUCUCUGAAGAAGAAAAUUCUUGAUGACGGCUUCUUCAAGAACUUCGGCAAUGGUAUAAUAAAUAAAUAAACAUGUUUUCCAAGCGAUUAAAAUGUAAUAAUUAAUAGUGAGGAGUUUGCAUCAGAUGCAAGAGAAGAAGAGAAAAGAAACCUAUUGCCAAGUAGCUUAUGGAGCCGAAUGAUAAGGUCAUCUUCUUCCUCGGAGAAAUUGUCACGCUUAACGCUAGGACUAAGAUAAUUCAUCCACCUUAAUCUGCAGCUUUUGCCGCAUCUCUUCAGCCCUAAACCACAUGAAGAAACACACAUUACUCGGAGGAAGAGAAGAUUGUAUAUAGAAGUUUUUAACUGAAACGAAAACUAGCCAAUUAAUUAGUAAACCUGUCACUUUCGCUACACGAUUCCACUUCCCUUUGCCAUGAACCUUUAUGUAAUCCAUUAAAAUUCUGUCCUCCUCCACUGUCCACAACCCUUUUUUAUAUUCAGUAGUACUGUUCCCUCUUUCCAUUAAUUGAUUUUUGUGUGAAAAGUAUCUGUACCUAUGAGCAGAGAGAGAGGGAAAGGAAAAGUUGUGGAGUGUGGAGCUGAGGAGGUUGCUGUGGCAGGGGAGUACAUUUAUAGCAGUGAAAUGGGAAUAGUUGAGACCUGAGAGAGAGAGAGAGAGAGA
rnacentral:misc_RNA from 1 species